CCCCUCUCAGGGUUGCACCUGGAGAGUUUCCAGUACUCUACCAGUCUUGGCCAUGGGAGGGAGAGUCAAGCAGAGGCCUAUCCAUUCCAUUCCUAGCUUGGGCAGUGGCUAGCAAGUAGAAGGCAAUCUGCUACAAGU
rnacentral:snoRNA from 1 species